CCCCGAUCUGCCUGCUGGAUGACAGGAGGCUGGUGCUGCUGGCUGGGUCCAGCAGCGACACCGAUCUUCUUGGCACAGGAUGUGUCCAGCCAGCAGCACAAGCCUCCUGUCAUCCAGCAGGCAGAUCGGGA
rnacentral:pre_miRNA from 1 species